rnacentral:rRNA from 1 species
AGCAGCCGCGGUAAUUCCAGCUCCAAUAGCGUAUAUUAAAGUUGUUGCAGUUAAAAAGCUCGUAGUUGAAUUUCGGGAUUGACGUGAUGGUCGUGCCUUAAGGGGUAUGAACUGUUGCUGUUGAUUUCUCACCUUCUGGAGAAACUUGAUGUCCUUAAUUGGGUGUCUUGCGGAUCCAGGACCUUUACCUUGAAAAAAUUAGAGUGUUUAAAGCAGGCAUUUUGCUCGAAUACAUUAGCAUGGAAUAAUAGAAUAGGACGGCAUGGUUCUAUUUUGUUGGUUUCUAGGAUCACCGUAAUGAUUAAUAGGGAUAGUUGGGGGCAUUAGUAUUCAAUUGUCAGAGGUGAAAUUCUUGGAUUUAUUGAAGACUAACUACUGCGAAAGCAUUUGCCAAGGAUGUUUUCAUUAAUCAAGAACGAAAGUUAGGGGAUCGAAGACGAUCAGAUACCGUCGUAGUCUUAACAUAAACUAUGCCGACUAGGGAUCGGAUGAUGUUAAUUUUAUAAUGACUCU